rnacentral:snoRNA from 1 species
UCCUGCAUUCAAACGUGGUCAUGAACUAUUCGUGUCCUGGUCACUGACGAUGCAGGGAGAGGAGCUGCUGAAAGCAUUUCCCUGUGUUUGAAGGGUCCAUUCCUGUCCUUUCCAGACCCUGGAGCUUUCCCACU